rnacentral:rRNA from 1 species
AACGCUAGCUACAGGCUUAACACAUGCAAGUCGAGGGGAAACGACAUCGAAAGCUUGCUUUUGAUGGGCGUCGACCGGCGCACGGGUGAGUAACGCGUAUCCAACCUGCCCAUCACUUGGGGAUAACCUUGCGAAAGUAAGACUAAUACCCAAUGACGUCUCUAGAAGACAUCUGAAGGAGAUUAAAGAUUUAUCGGUGAUGGAUGGGGAUGCGUCUGAUUAGCUUGUUGGCGGGGUAACGGCCCACCAAGGCGACGAUCAGUAGGGGUUCUGAGAGGAAGGUCCCCCACAUUGGAGCUGAGACACGGUCCAAACUCCUACGGGAGGCAGCAGUGAGGAAUAUUGGUCAAUGGACGAGAGUCUGAACCAGCCAAGUAGCGUGCAGGAUGACGGCCCUAUGGGUUGUAAACUGCUUUUAUAAGGGAAUAAAGUGAGUCUCGUGAGACUUUUUGCAUGUACCUUAUGAAUAAGGACCGGCUAAUUCCGUGCCAGCAGCCGCGGUAAUACGGAAGGUCCGGGCGUUAUCCGGAUUUAUUGGGUUUAAAGGGAGCGUAGGCCGGAGAUUAAGCGUGUUGUGAAAUGUAGACGCUCAACGUCUGCACUGCAGCGCGAACUGGUUUCCUUGAGUACGCACAAAGUGGGCGGAAUUCGUGGUGUAGCGGUGAAAUGCUUAGAUAUCACGAAGAACUCCGAUUG